UUUAGAUGCAGUUCACUUUUGUUUUUUAAAGUAAGUUUUAUUAAUGGAAAGGAAGAACUUUUUCCAAGAAAGCAUUUUGAAAGCCACUGGGGGAGGGGGACAUUUAUGCUUUUGGGCUGUGGAGAUCCUUUAGGUGGAGAGACUGCUCUCUCAUCCCUAGUGGAAUGGAGGUUUGGGUUGGUGAGUUUCUAUCAAUAGCCUGCUCUCUAUAGUGGGUCAGUGACUGGCACCAAAUUGUAGUCCUGUUCCAUGGACAUUGCCCUGUUUUGGUUUUAUGAGCUUUUGGCCAGGCACAGGACGCAGGGUGGUAGGGAAAAAAGGAAAUGGUUCCUGUGCCCGUGGUGCUGACAGGUAAGGGAAGGGCCUUCUGAUGUAUUUUAUGGGAUGCUUCAGAAACCUGGGGGUUGCUUGUGUCUCUGGGAAGCCCUUGGUAAAGAAAGCCACCAUUUUUUUUACUUAGGUAUAUUCCAGUGGUUUAUCAUCGGGAGAGGGAUGAUAAUGGAGGAAGGCUCAAUGAGGGAGAAAGUAUUCAGCUGCUUGAUGUUAGAGCUUAAUGGCAGGACCUACCAGUUGCUUUUCACAGAAAUGCUGUGUAUUGAUCCUAAGGCAGCAUGUGUUCUCUUUUGUGUGGCCAUUAUCCAUUCUCCCACUUUUCCAUCAGUGACUGCUUUGCUUUUGUUCCUCAAUCCUUUACCCAAAAAUGGCUGAAUUAUUUCUGUGCAGUUAAAUAAAGUGAUCCAAACUCAA
rnacentral:lncRNA from 1 species